GUGCUUCGGCAGCACAUUUUGUAUAAAACUGAAAUGAUACAAAGAUUAGCAUGGGCCCCGUGCAAAGAUGACACAAAAGUUCAUAAGUGUUCCAUAUUAAA
ensembl:snRNA U6 U6 spliceosomal RNA